UAACUAAUCAAACAAAAAGGCUGACAGCAAACUUACAGCAAAACUAGAAGUCAGGAGGAAAAACUGGAAGAAAAGUCUAAAAACACAGAACUGAUCAUGAGGGUGGAGAAGAGCUGAUGAUGAACGGGAGAUUACCUGCAGCUGAGAAUAACGAGGGGAGAACAGGUGAAGUGGGCGUGGCAAGCUGAGUGGAAAAACAGGGAAGACUGAGACGCUAACGAACAGAGGAAAAUAAACACAAACACAGAGAGGAAACUGAACUAAAGAAAUGGAAGAACUGAUCAGACGACUCGUCUUUCCAUGACUGGGUUAUGGAUGUCGUGGAAAAUAAAUCAUAAUUGCUGUAUCAUGGGAGACUGGCUCCAGGCCCAGGAUUUGACUCUACACUUCUUAUAACAAGUAUAAGGU